rnacentral:tRNA from 1 species
GCCAUCCUAGCUCAAUUGGCAGAGCAAUCGCUUCGUAAGCGAUAGGUUAUGGGUUCAAGUCCCAUGGAUGGCU